rnacentral:lncRNA from 1 species
CACAGCCAAACCAUAUCAUUGACUGACUUAAAUUCAACAGAACUGUGCUUUGGAGGACAUCGUUGCGCUGCUGACUUCUAACACUGAGAGAGAAGGGAGAUUGUGAAAGGUACAAGAGGCAGGGGAGCAGCCCACUGAGCUACCCCAGGAAUUUCCCUGACAAUCAGUUUUAAGGAGGACAUGCAGAAGUUGAAGAUGUGGAACACACAUCCCAUCUAAGGGGUGACAUCCUUCAGUUUGUGGACAGCUGGUCUAAUUCACUGGAGGAGGAACACAGCUCCCCUGGGGCCAUGCUCUGGCCACAGAACAGUGUGCAAGAGGUCAUUUAUGUUCAGGUGAUCCUGCCUUAUCCUGGAGAAAGAAAUGUUAUGCAAGAGGCCAAGAAGAAGCUAAACAAACAAGCCAUGAUGGAUUCCCAUCUCAGCUUAUUACCAUUGGGACAUGUCCUUUUUGUCCAAUCACAUUUCUACAUGGCAGUACAGUCUUCAUCAAACCUAAGCAUUAAAAAAAAAGUUUUCUCUGGGUCUUUGGGUCUUUUGUUU